CGCAGACGGCGAAGCAAGUCUGAAGUGAAAUGCAUGGGCUCAACCCAUGAAUUGCUUUGGAAACUGUUUGGCUUGAGUGUCGGAGGGGUAAGCGGAAUUCCUAGUGUAGCGGUGAAAUGCGUAGAUAUUAGGAGGAACACCGGAGGCGAAGGCGGCUUACUGGACGACAACUGACGUUGAGGCUCGAAGGCGUGGGGAGCAAACA
rnacentral:rRNA from 1 species